GUUAAAAUAAUUUAAUUUAAAAUGUUGAUUUUGUAAAUCAAAUUUGGAUUUCCUUUUAACA
rnacentral:tRNA from 1 species